rnacentral:rRNA from 1 species
UACAGAGACUGCAAGCGUUAUUCGGAUUUACUGGGCGUAAAGGGCGCGUAGGCGGUCAGCACAAGUCAGUUGUGAAAUCUCCGGGCUUAACUCGGAAAGGUCAACUGAUACUGUGCGACUAGAGUGCAGAAGGGGCAACUGGAAUUCUCGGUGUAGCGGUGAAAUGCGUAGAUAUCGAGAGGAACACCUGCGGCGAAGGCGGGUUGCUGGGCUGACACUGACGCUGAUGCGCGAAAGCCAGGGGAGCGAACGGG